CGCGAAUCUAAGUCGCGAUUUUGGCGUGGACAAUAUGCGACUCACGUAAUUUCGGAAACAGUAUUUGGUUUCGAUCAGUCAGCGGAGUUCCUCGAAAAUUUCGGCUAGCGAGUCACGCGGCGUGCUUGCACGAACUGGGUCAAUUUGAUUGACGGCAGAAAUCUCGUUGGUCGAGAGCUGGAAUUCUGAAGGCAAGCGCCGAGUUGCGAUGGAACGAACGAACCAAGAUCCUUCGGCUUCGCGGGACGAAUCUUACCACCCAAGAACCUCGCCAAACCAAAGAUAGAGGAAACUAGUGUGAG
rnacentral:misc_RNA from 1 species